CGUCUGCCUGUGACCCGAGCGGGGGUAAGGGUGUUUGAACGGCCGGGUUUUCCGGUCAGGCCCCGGUCGCUUACCGAUCACGGCUCCGCUUCAAGCCAGCGGUCCGCAGCGGUCGCUCCCGGAGGGGAGCGGUCGUGGCGGUUGCAGAGGCGGGAAUCGCGUCAGGCGGGAAACCGAGCAGCGCAAACCGUCCGCCGUUGGCAGUGAAGGGAUAGGCUG
rnacentral:SRP_RNA from 1 species